rnacentral:rRNA from 1 species
AAAAUAAAAUUUGAUUUUAAAAAAAUUUAAUUUUUAAACUAGGAUUAGAUACCCUAUUAUUUUAAGCUUAAUGUUGGUAGUAAGUAAAAUUUAUGAAAUCAUAAAAUUUUGGCGGUAUUUUAAGCUUGUUAGAGGAAUUUGCUCUAUAAUGGAUACAACGCCCACAUCUUACUUAAUUUUGUAAUUAAAGUCAGUUUGUAUACCACUAUAUUUAAUUAUAUUGAAUAAUUAUAUUUAAGAUUUUUAUAUAAAUAUAUAUUAAGUCAAGGUGCAACAAAUAAUUA